UGUCUAUUUCUCUUGGCCUUUCCUACGC
rnacentral:piRNA from 1 species